rnacentral:miRNA from 1 species
CAUACAAUCUGACAUGUAUUU